UGUGGAUUCUAGUAUUUGCUAAAGGAAUUAAGCUAAUUUCUUGAGUUGGAAGUAGAGGCUAUCAAUUCAUAUAAAAUGAUGAAAAAAUCUUUAGACUAAAAUUCAUGUCUUUAGACUUAAUUAAUUCAUAUACUGAUUAGGUUUUAUUUUUCUUUGUGCAAUCAUGGCCUCAAACUUAUUGUUCCAAUCACGUUGGACAGUAAAAAAUUGACGGAACCCAAUUUCGAUAACUGAUAUCAAAAAUUAAAAAUAAUCCUAGAGCACGAGCGGAUCUUGUACAUCCUUACAGAUCCGAUACAUGAGAAGCUUGCUCCUAAUGCUCGUGAUGCAGUU
rnacentral:lncRNA from 1 species